UAUACUCAGGGUUGGACACUUCGCUUUUCUUAAAAUAAGAACACUAGCGCCAUCUAUGCACGGACGUGGCGAAGCUUCUCGUAGUGAAACCUAACUUUUUGUGCCAUUACAUUUUUGGAGGAUCAAAAGUAGCGUCUGCUGUGAGGUCGGUGCAUUUGUAGGAACGAAAAAAGUUUUGUGAGCGAUGUGAUUAAACAUAAAAAAUGAAUAAAGAAAACAAGAAAUCGGCAAGUGUUAACUGAACUAAAGGAUCGACACACUGGGGUAUAACUUGAGCAAGGACGUAUCUACUGGAGAGCAUAUUAUUCUGCUGACUAGUUUGUACCUGAGUGCGCAUACGCAUCUAUUUACUUGGCCAGCAUCAAUCAAAUGGACACGAAUUCUAUAUACGCUAUGGGUAUGUGUCCCUUUCACUUGGACGAACGUUGCGGGCGUACGCGGUCUACCCACCGUCGAGCACUGUGUGGACGGAGACGCCUCCGACACGCCGCCGCCAUGUUGCUUAUACGUCAACGAAAAACGAGAGCGCCGUC